rnacentral:RNase_P_RNA from 4 species
CAAGUAGACAAGGCAAUCGCCCUGUUAGAUAGAGCUUGUAAGCUCAUCAUUUAAUGGGGAGGAAAGUCCGAACACCCUCCCGCAUAUAUGCGGGAUAAAAAAAUAGCGGCUAACAGCCGUCCACCGUAAGGUGAGAGGUGCGAACAGAGACGCUCUAGAACCCGAAAGGGUUCGGGCCCCUAUUCUGCCUUAGGGCAGACGGGUGAUCUCCGAGUGAAAACUCGGAAGUGAAACGGCUAAAUCCUUAUUGGGUGCAAGAACAAACUUUCGACAAUCUCCGGAUUUGUCGAAAUGAAAAGUAGUUCGCUUGAUCCCGUAAGUAAUUAUGGGACCAGAUAAAUGAUUGUCUAAAACAGAAUUCGGCUUAUUGUCUGCUUGAGCU